rnacentral:rRNA from 1 species
AUUGAACGCUGGCGGCAUGCCUAACACAUGCAAGUCGAACGAGUGGCGGACGGGUGAGUAAUGUCUGGGAAACUGCCUGAUGUAGGGGGAUAACUACGGGAAACGGUAGCUAAUACCGCUUACCAUCGUAUGUGCCCAGGGGGGAUUAGCUAGUAGGUGGGGUAAAGGCUCACCUAGGCGACGAUCCCUAGCUGGUCUGAGAGGAUGACCAGCCACACUGGGACUGAGACACGGUCCAGACUCCUACGGGAGGCAGCAGUGGGGAAUAUUGCGCAAUGGGCGCAAGCCUGAUACAGCCAUGCCGCGUGUGUGAAGAAGGCCUUCGGGUUGUAAAGCACUGUCGGCAGGGAGGCGGUACUCGAAGAAGAAGCACCGGCUAACUCCGUGCCAGCAGCCGCGGUAAUUC